AUUGAACGCUGGCGGCAGGCCUAACACAUGCAAGUCGAGCGGAGCGGCGGACGGAUGAGUCAUGCCUAGGAAUCUGCCUGGUCGUGGGGGAUAACGUCCGGCAACGGGCGCUAAUCCCGCCUACUCUCAGAUGAGCCUACGUGGGAUUAGCUAGUUGGUGGGUUAAAGGCCUACCAAGGCGACGAUCCGUAACUGGUCUGAGAGGAGGAUCAGUCACACUGGAACGGAGACACGGUCCAGACUCCUACGGGAGGCAGCAGUGGGGAAUAUUGGACAAUGGGCGAAAGCCUGAUCCAGCCAUGCCGCGUGUGUGAAGAAGGUCUUCGGAUUGUAAAGCACUUUAAGUUGGGAGGCGUUACCAACAGAAUAAGCACCGGCUAACUCCGUGCCAGCAGCCGCGGUAAUAC
rnacentral:rRNA from 1 species